GACGAACGCUGGCGGCGUGCCUAAUACAUGCAAGUAGAACGCUGAAGGAGGAGCUUGCUUCUCUGGAUGAGUUGCGAACGGGUGAGUAACGCGUAGGUAACCUGCCUGGUAGCGGGGGAUAACUAUUGGAAACGAUAGCUAAUACCGCAUAAUAGUAGAUGUUGCAUGACAUUUGCUUAAAAGGUGCAAUUGCAUCACUACCAGAUGGACCUGCGUUGUAUUAGCUAGUUGGUGAGGUAACGGCUCACCAAGGCGACGAUACAUAGCCGACCUGAGAGGGUGAUCGGCCACACUGGGACUGAGACACGGCCCAGACUCCUACGGGAGGCAGCAGUAGGGAAUCUUCGGCAAUGGACGGAAGUCUGACCGAGCAACGCCGCGUGAGUGAAGAAGGUUUUCGGAUCGUAAAGCUCUGUCGUAAGAGAAGAACGAGUGUGAGAGUGGAAAGUUCACACNGNGACGG
rnacentral:rRNA from 1 species